rnacentral:rRNA from 1 species
UACGUAUGGUGCAAGCGUUGUUCGGAAUCACUGGGCGUAAAGAGCGCGCAGGCGGAUUGUUAAGUCGGACGUGAAAACUAUGGGCUCAACCCAUAGCCCGCAUUCGAUACUGAUGAUCUGGAGUCUCGGAGAGGUAGGCGGAAUUCUCGGUGUAGCGGUGAAAUGCGUAGAUAUCGAGAGGAACACCAAUGGCGAAGGCAGCCUACUGGACGGUGACUGACGCUGAGGCGCGAAAGCGUGGGGAGCAAACAGG